CUCUAAUACACUCUAACACACACUCUAACACACACACACACACUCUAACACACACUAACACACACUAACACACACACACACUAACACACACACAGACAUACUACAUGUAUUUACAUGUGUCUCGAUGCACUGAAUUGCACAAGCUUGUGAGAGGUAGCUUUUUGAGAACCAGACUUUUUUUUAAGGAAGGUUCUUUUGCUUCUUAUGGUCCACAAAAAAAGCUACAUCUCAACAUAACAUUGCUGUAAUGUAAAGGUUGGCGUAACAUUGCUGUAAUGUAAAGGUUGGCGUAACAUUGCUGUAAUGUAAAGGUUGGCGUAACAUUGCUGUAAUGUAAAGGUUGGCGUAACAUUGCUGUAAUGUAAAGGUUGGCGUAACAUUGCUGUAAUGUAAAGGUUGACGUAACAUUGUAGCACUGUAACAUUCUGCAACGUUUAGGCAACACUUGCUUACAGGAAGUCGACCUUCAAAGCCCUACACAGCUCUUUGUAGGUCGGCUAUCUGCCAGACUUGGAAGAAUUAUGCAUUAUUACAAACGUUGAGGAAAUAAUCUUUCCAUAACUUAAAUGUAACAUUUCAAUAGUUCUGCUGCACUGUGAAUGGAAACGCUGACACAACAUUAGGCUCUUUAUCCUGUCUGUGUAGGCAGGAGAUACCAGACAUAAAGUUAUCAGAUGUAAUGCAAAGCCACUGUGGAUGUAAGACUGUACAAACAAGGCUACUUUACCUAUACCAGGAGUCGGCAACAGACGGGCCCGCGGGCCAAAACCGGUCGAAAAAGACUGUAAAAUCACCAGAAAUUCAGCCCAAUUUUUUUUGCAUAAUUUAGUAAAUUUGUUCCCAAGUAUUCCCACGAAUAAAUAAAGAGACAUAUGUAAUGGUGCCUCGGUAUAAUCAAGGUUUGAAAUGAUUGUAUUUGAAAAUACAAUCUCUUUUUGAGCUUGCAGUGUACAAAUGAUUAGAAUUAUGUUCUGGCCCCCGGACCACAAAACUUGUCUUGUGGCUGAAUCUAGUUGCCAACCCCUGACGUACAGUAUGGCUUUCAGGGCUAAAGGCUGAUUCUGAUAUAUGCAUUUUAAAUAGUAUAAAUAUAUAUAUUAAUGACGAUUAGCAGAUCACAUUGAUUUCAUCCUAAUUAUAAUCAUUUUUAAUUUGAAAAGGGUAAUUUUUCUGUCUUUUGUGCAAUAAUAUUAUUGUGUGUAGAGAGAGCGAGUCCUAAUAUUGAGAUGUACAGUUGAAUUAAUUGAAUGAACUGAAUAUAAAAUAAUAAAAUGUAGACACGUUAUCUAGGAGUA